AGUCAGCUGCGCAAGGAGCGCGCUCCGUAACCCCUUCUGCAGGGCAGGGAACACCCGGGCUGAGGCGCACGUUACGUAAGCGCAAGGCGUACGCAAGAUGGUGUCUUUCACUGGUUUAUCUAAGACAGCCUAUUAUCUUCACUCUCCUUAUGGCAAAACUUUCAUGGAUGUGAGCAUUAUUAAAAAGUAACCAUUUAUAUGAGUUCUCUACUCACACACAGUUUCUGGAGGCAAUUGGCAUCUCACAGCAGAAGAACGAGGCAGACCCAAACCUGUGCCUUCCUGCAGGCUAUAAGGGAAAAUGGAGAAAUUAUACCUCACCCUAUCAAAAGCUUUAUGUACGAAAAAAAUCCUCCUGCUCAGUGGAGUGUUGUCCUGCUGCCGGUGUUUUGGCACACCUGAAGGAUUCCAGUUACCACUGCCUGCAGUGAAGCACAUAGAAGGGCGAAAGCCUGAGACAACCGAGCAAAUCCACGAAAAACCACCAACAACCACCUCAAGCACCCAAGGGGUGCCACUCACGCAUCUUCCUCAACAAGGCACACACGGCGUUUUUGGAUUGGAUGGCCAAAACCUGUCAGAGAGCUGGAAGAGAAGUGACUUGCCUGGAGUCACAGGACAAGAAAAUGAGGCUGAGUCAUACACAUGACUUAAUCUGCCAUUUUAAAAGGAUGGAAAAGGUGCUUUUUAGGAUAGGAACACUUCUACGAGACAUCUGCACUCUUCUUGGAGACAGUAUUUGGAAAGCAAUUGCCCUUUUUAGCUCGCCUCUGGUAGCACAGUUGGUACAGGACUACAUGUCAAGGAGACAUCACAUCUCCUGCGAGCAGGAGGAGUUCCUGGUUGCCCCUUAUGUGAGCUUGGAAUGGCAGAAGGGAUUGGAGCGGCAUCUCAGCCUGUUUCAAGGGGCUUGUAAAAACUUCCCCAUCCUCUGCCUGUGGGAGGUUAAGGGCACCUUUUCCAAGACAUUUCUUAGCCAAGUCAGGAAACGAAGCAGCACAACCCACGGCCCUGUGCCAUCAUCAGCACACCACAGGAGUGCUCGCAGGGUCCGCAUUCGAAAUAUCAAGCAAUUUCUUUAAGUACCAAAAUUCCAAUCCUGGGAGCCCAAGGCUUUGUUUAAACAGAGGAAGUGGCUGGCACAGCUUUUGAAAACCGCAUUAUUCCGCAAGAGCUAUUCCAGUAGAGCACUUAGGCAGACAGCCCUUUAAAGGCGAGUUCCUUCACAAAGUAUGCUUUUAUUCCAGAACAGAAUGCACAUGCAGAGGGUGACCCUUCUGCUGCUGCUAAGCAGCUCUGCAGCAGAUAAUACCUCACUCUGUGUAUCCCUUCAUGAUCCUUUUAGAUUGUAAAAUGGUUCUCAGAAAGGUCAAUGAAUGCACAGAAUCUUAAGACCAUUUCCCACUCCGAAAAGCUACUUUGGGCAAUAAAUUACAUUCUACAA